rnacentral:rRNA from 1 species
UGGGGAAUAUUGCACAAUGGGGGGAACCCUGAUGCAGCGACGCCGCGUGAGCGAAGAAGUAUUUCGGUAUGUAAAGCUCUGUCAGCAGGGAAGAAGAUGACGGUACCUGACCAAGAAGCUCCGGCUAAAUACGUGCCAGCAGCCGCGGUAAUACGUAUGGAGCAAGCGUUAUCCGGAUUUACUGGGUGUAAAGGGAGCGCAGGCGGUGCGGCAAGUCUGGUGUGAAAUUCCGGGGCCCAACCCCGGGACUGCAUUGGAAACUGUCGCGCUGGAGUGUCGGAGGGGCAGGCGGAAUUCCUAGUGUAGCGGUGAAAAUGCGUAGAUAUUAGGAGGAACACCGGUGGCGAAGGCGGCCUGCUGGACGACAACUGACGCUGAGGCUCGAAAAGCGUGGGGAGCAAACAGGAUUAGAUACC